AGGAACUCGUUCUCAUAUCUAAACUUCUCCCUUGUAUCUAAACAUUUUGCUGAUGGGCACAGCCCCAGCCAACCAGCCUGGGCAGGGCAGCGGGGAGCAGCCCCGCUCAAGUCUGUAGAUCUUUCUUCCCUCUCUGAGACCCCAGCUGGCCCAACCCUCUUCCACCCCAUAUCCCACCAGGCUCCUGCAGACGGAAAGGAAGGUUUCCUGCAGCCCAUAUCCAGCCAGAAGCCUCCAGUGGCUCCCAUCUAGCUGCCUCAAGAAAUGCUUUUGAUCAUCUAAAUCCAGGCAGGGCUCAUCUGCACCCUCGUGUGGUCCCAGCAGAGAAGACGAGGCACCGUGCUUCUCAGGACUCCAUCCUCGGCAGGCUGAGCCGUGCAGCAGGAUGGUGACAGCGGGAGGACCAGACGACCUUACCCAGAGCCUCGGAGGCUGCAGAGCUUUAAUUUAUUUAAUCAAUUCUGGUCCCCAGGCUGGGGAAGGAAAACGGCAGGAUAUUAAAUCUGUCGCUCUCACCAAUCUGUCAUAGGGCUGUCAGCGCACAUUGAUUCUCCUCCUCCCGCCUUUAUUAAC
rnacentral:lncRNA from 1 species